rnacentral:misc_RNA from 1 species
AAGUCGUAACAAGGUUUCCGUAGGUGAACCUGCGGAAGGAUCAUUAACACGUAUCCAACGUUAAACCCCCCCGUGAACCUUUAUUGUGGCACGCCUAUCCGUUAGAAAGUGGCAAUCCCUGGUAAAUCAUCGCCGAACAGUUUUGAUAGGACAACUGCGCGAGCAAGUGACCUGGCAUCCCUCUGCUUGUUAGUGUCUGAAAGUGUCACUAGCUCUGUACGGGUGGCGCAAUCACGAUCGCUAGAGGCCAACACGGCCGGCGACCGGGUCAAUGGGCCCUCGGCCCCCUAGAUCACCCCUUUGCAUGAAAACGGGCCUGCGCUUAAUUGUGCGGCCACCAAACUCGAACAACUGUUAACAAUGGAUAUCUUGGUUCUC